GCGGCGUGCUUAACACAUGCAAGUCGAACGGAGUUGAUUUAAGGAAGCAAGCUUGCUUGAAGAAUUGAAUUAACUUAGUGGCGGACGGGCGAGUAACACGUGAGCAACCUACCUCUUACAGGGGAAUAACAACGGGAAACCGUUGCUAAUACCGCAUGAUAUGUGCUGAAGGCAUCUUUGGCACAUCAAAAGAGCAAUCUGGUGGGAGAUGGGCUCGCGUCUGAUUAGCUAGUUGGUAAGGUAACGGCCUACCAAGGCGACGAUCAGUAGCCGGACUGAGAGGUCGAACGGCCGCAUUGGGACUGAGACACGGCCCAGACUCCUACGGGAGGCAGCAGUGGGGAAUAUUGGGCAAUGGGCGAAAGCCUGACCCAGCAACGCCGCGUGAAUGAUGAAGGCCUUCGGGUUGUAAAAUUCUUUGGACAGGGACGAAGAAAGUGACGUACCUUAGACAAGCCACGCA
rnacentral:rRNA from 1 species